CUUAUUCUUAAAAUAGAAAGAGCCUAACUCAAAUGGUUAGCUUGCCACUCAGGUGUCCUCUCACCACAGAAGGUUGGAUGGACACAGCUGAGCCGAGUGGAAAAGGCAUGGUCCUCCAAGCAUACUGGUCUGAACAGCAGUCCAGAAUCUACCAAAGGUGAGUUGUGAGGAUUUAGGCAAUUUACUUAACUACCUCUGAGACUCAUCCUUUCUACCUUGAAAUGCCUAUGGCUCAGGACUGCUAUGAGACCCAAGCCUGGUGCAUGCAAGCAGCUGGCGUGGUGCCUGAUGAGAGUUAGCACUUGACACAAGUCCGUGCCCUUUCUUCUUUCUGGAUGCUUCCUGUCUUGCACAGUAAAGCCCAAACCACCCAUCCCCCCUCCCCCCCCAGCAGCUAUGGUUAAAAUUGUCUGCUUCCUGUUUCCAUAGGCUCUACUAUUUUAACUGUUUUGUGCUUAAACACUUAAAGAGUGAUAGUCAAUCUGGCUAAAGCUAUAAACAUGGAUUUGAGGUGAGCUAGGGCCCAUUUCUUUGGUAUCUACUGAGAGUUCAUUAGAAGAAAAUGUUAAGAAGCCCCAUGAUGGUGCAAUCAACUGUGCAGGCCACUGGGGCAUGGGGUGGGGUAUUAACCUUUUUUAUGCCUACACCCAGUCAGUCUGCCAUCUGCAAAUAUUUAUUGCGUGGCUACUACGUGCAAAGUUACUGUCAAGAUAGAAGGACCACAACGUUGAACGUGAUGAAAUUGCUGUACAGAAAGAUUAAAUUACGAAGACAAGAGUCAAGUAUAAAAAGCUUCGAGCGCUGUCAUUUCUUGAGGCUGGAGACUAGGCCGAAUGGAUCCUGCAUUGUUAAGUCUUAACAAUGAAACAAUAAUUUUUCUCAUAACCGUUGAAUAAUUUAGGCUCUUCUUCCCAGACAAUGGCUUGAUUGCAUUGCUAGGUUUCUUGACUUAAGGAGCAAGGUAGCAAGUAAAAAUAGGCAAAGAAGAAAGCUCGGCGUUAUGUAUGAAAUUCGCACUGAAGGUGCUGUCGGGCUAAUCCCAUGGGGGUGAAGAAGUUCAAGGGUGCCAGCCACCCAGAAUGACUUAGAUAAAGGGAGAAUUCUACAGACAUUUUCUAAAGAAAAGUGGUCAUAUACAGCUCAAUUUUAAUAUAAGUUGCAUUCUCAUGAGUACACAAUGUGAACUAACAAUGUUCUUGAACAUUUAUCUAAAGUAAACAUACUUGAACACCUUCCUUGCCAGGCACUGUGGUACUAGACAUUGGUGAUUCAAUAGUGAACGAGACUCAACAGAGCUUACUUUCUAAUGGGAGCGGCCAACACACA
rnacentral:lncRNA from 1 species